GAUGAACGCUAGCGACAGGCCUAACACAUGCAAGUCGAGGGGCAGCACGAAGUAAGCUUGCUUACUUUGGUGGCGACCGGCGCACGGGUGCGUAACAGGUGUGCAAUCUGUCCAUAAUCGGGGAAUAGCCCAGCGAAAGUUGGAUUAAUGCUCCAUGUGAGUUUUAGAGGCACCUCUUUAACUUGAAACGCAAGGAUUAUGGGUGAGCACGCUUCUGAUUAGGUAGUUGGUGAGGUAACGGCUCACCAAGCCGACGAUCAGUAGGGGUUCUGAGAGGAAGGUCCCCCACAUUGGAACUGAGACACGGUCCAAACUCCUACGGGAGGCAGCAGUGAGGAAUAUUGGUCAAUGGGCGAAAGCCUGAACCAGCCAAGUCGCGUGAAGGAUGAAGGUUCUAUGGAUUGUAAACUUCUUUUGUCUGAGGGUAAAAAAGCGGACGUGUCCGUUCUUGCAAGUAUCAGACGAAUAAGCAUCGGCUAACUCCGUGCCAGCCGCCGCAGUAACAC
rnacentral:rRNA from 1 species